CAUCAGGAUUCAGGAAAGCAUAUGUAGCUGAGACCAAAUCCAACCAUGACGCUAACAAGUGGCAGUGAUGUAUUGCUUGGCCUCUUUGGCUUCUAAACAUGGCCAAGAAUCGGUUGCCCUGCGAUUUUUCCGUGGGAAGGAGAACAACCUGAGCUCCUCGCUCUUCCCUUGCUCGGACCGCUUCUCAUCCACGUGCAAUCCUGCUGGCAGUUAAGCUCUCGUUGGGUGGCGCUGGCGGGUGGAGACAACGGCGCCAGGGAUGUCCUUCGUUGUUCAGCAUUUU
rnacentral:lncRNA from 1 species